UAUACAUUAUAUACAUUAUAUCUAUUAUUAUACAUUAGUCUUGUUUAGAUAUGGAGAGGUAUGAAAAGAUAUGAAAAGAAUAUGAAAAGCAAUGCAUUGAAAAAGAACAAGAAUAAGAAAUGAACGGAAUCGAACGGGAAAUUCUCCUAUAAAUUCAGAAUCUUUGGACAAUUUGGAGCAGCGUGUUAUCACUUGUAUGGGUUUAGAUUACAAAGGUACAAGGUUUUAUAACUUGUCCAGAUAGUACACCAGAAGAAGAGGAGCAUCAACUCGAAUUGGAAAAAAGAAACAAAGAAGUUCUUGACUAUCCACCUGCAGUAUCAUCUAUUGCUACAUUUUAAAAGAAAACUAUGAUACAAACAAUAGUAAUAUUGAAAUGUAUAAAAACAGCAAGUAUUUUAACUUAUUAUACAUAUAUUUAUUAUAAUGUAUUGUUACGACCGAGCGGUGUUCCGCUACCCUCAUACAUUUCCAACUUGAAGAUCAUUCCUUGCCGACACAGUCAUCAAGCGGUUGUCAAGCGUUGUUUUGGCGUUGUUUGGUCGUCGGCGCGGCGCGCGAGUUUGAGCUGUGUCGCGGCGAAUUAUUAUUUAACUGCGUAAAGCUCUUGUUAUCGCUCCUGUGCUUAGUGUUUAAUAAAGUAUAUUUCCUUUUUAA